UGCAAGUCGAACGGUAACAGGAAGCAGCUUGCUUCUUUGCUGACGAGUGGCGGACGGGUGAGUAAUGUCUGGGAAACUGCCUGAUGGAGGGGGAUAACUACUGGAAACGGUAGCUAAUACCGCAUAAUGUCGCAAGACCAAAGAGGGGGACCUUCGGGCCUCUUGCCAUCGGAUGUGCCCAGAUGGGAUUAGCUUGUUGGUGGGGUAACGGCUCACCAAGGCGACGAUCCCUAGCUGGUCUGAGAGGAUGACCAGCCACACUGGAACUGAGACACGGUCCAGACUCCUACGGGAGGCAGCAGUGGGGAAUAUUGCACAAUGGGCGCAAGCCUGAUGCAGCCAUGCCGCGUGUAUGAAGAAGGCCUUCGGGUUGUAAAGUACUUUCAGCGGGGAGGAAGGGAGUAAAGUUAAUACCUUUGCUCAUUGACGUUACCCGCAGAAGAAGCACCGGCUAACUCCGUGCCAGCAGCCGCGGUAAUACGGAGGGUGCAAGCGUUAAUCGGAAUUACUGGGCGUAAAGCGCACGCAGGCGGUUUGUUAAGUCAGAUGUGAAAUCCCCGGGCUCAACCUGGGAACUGCAUCUGAUACUGGCAAGCUUGAGUCUCGUAGAGGGGGGUAGAAUUCCAGGUGUAGCGGUGAAAUGCGUAGAGAUCUGGAGGAAUACCGGUGGCGAAGGCGGCCCCCUGGACGAAGACUGACGCUCAGGUGCGAAAGCGUGGGGAGCAAACAGGAUUAGAUACCCUGGUAGUCCACGCCGUAAACGAUGUCGACUUGGAGGUUGUGCCCUUGAGGCGUGGCUUCCGGAGCUAACGCGUUAAGUCGACCGCCUGGGGAGUACGGCCGCAAGGUUAAAACUCAAAUGAAUUGACGGGGGCCCGCACAAGCGGUGGAGCAUGUGGUUUAAUUCGAUGCAACGCGAAGAACCUUACCUGGUCUUGACAUCCACGGAAGUUUUCAGAGAUGAGAAUGUGCCUUCGGGAACCGUGAGACAGGUGCUGCAUGGCUGUCGUCAGCUCGUGUUGUGAAAUGUUGGGUUAAGUCCCGCAACGAGCGCAACCCUUAUCCUUUGUUGCCAGCGGUCCGGCCGGGAACUCAAAGGAAACUGCCAGUGAUAAACUGGAGGAAGGUGGGGAUUACUUCCAUUUCUC
rnacentral:rRNA from 1 species